GACGAACGCUGGCGGCGUGCUUAACACAUGCAAGUCGAACGGAAAGGCCCUGCUUUUGUGGGGUGCUCGAGUGGCGAACGGGAGAGUAACACGUGAGUAACCUGCCCUUGACUUUGGGAUAACUUCAGGAAACUGGGGCUAAUACCGGAUAGGAGCUCCUGCUGCAUGGUGGGGGUUGGAAAGUUUCGGCGGUUGGGGAUGGACUCGCGGCUUAUCAGCUUGUUGGUGGGGUAGUGGCUUACCAAGGCUUUGACGGGUAGCCGGCCUGAGAGGGUGACCGGCCACAUUGGGACUGAGAUACGGCCCAGACUCCUACGGGAGGCAGCAGUGGGGAAUAUUGCACAAUGGGCGGAAGCCUGAUGCAGCAACGCCGCGUGCGGGAUGACGGCCUUCGGGUUGUAAACCGCUUUCGCCUGUGACGAAGCGUGAGUGACGGUAAUGGGUAAAGAAGCACCGGCUAACUACGUGCCAGCAGCCGCGGUGAUACGUAGGGUGCGAGCGUUGUCCGGAUUUAUUGGGCGUAAAGGGCUCGUAGGUGGUUGAUCGCGUCGGAAGUGUAAUCUUGGGGCUUAACCCUGAGCGUGCUUUCGAUACGGGUUGACUUGAGGAAGGUAGGGGAGAAUGGAAUUCCUGGUGGAGCGGUGGAAUGCGCAGAUAUCAGGAGGAACACCAGUGGCGAAGGCGGUUCUCUGGGCCUUUCCUGACGCUGAGGAGCGAAAGCGUGGGGAGCGAACAGGCUUAGAUACCCUGGUAGUCCACGCUGUAAACGGUGGGUACUAGGUGUGGGGUCCAUUCCACGGGUUCCGUGCCGUAGCUAACGCUUUAAGUACCCCGCCUGGGGAGUACGGCCGCAAGGCUAAAACUCAAAGGAAUUGACGGGGCCCCGCACAAGCGGCGGAGCAUGCGGAUUAAUUCGAUGCAACGCGUAGAACCUUACCUGGGUUUGACAUGGAUCGGGAGUGCUCAGAGAUGGGUGUGCCUCUUUUGGGGUCGGUUCACAGGUGGUGCAUGGCUGUCGUCAGCUCGUGUCGUGAGAUGUUGGGUUAAGUCCCGCAACGAGCGCAACCCUUGUUCACUGUUGCCAGCACGUUAUGGUGGGGACUCAGUGGAGACCGCCGGGGUCAACUCGGAGGAAGGUGGGGAUGACGUCAAGUCAUCAUGCCCCUUAUGUCCAGGGCUUCACGCAUGCUACAAUGGCUGGUACAGAGAGUGGCGAGCCUGUGAGGGUGAGCGAAUCUCGGAAAGCCGGUCUCAGUUCGGAUUGGGGUCUGCAACUCGACCUCAUGAAGUCGGAGUCGCUAGUAAUCGCAGAUCAGCAACGCUGCGGUGAAUACGUUCCCGGG
rnacentral:rRNA from 1 species